CCUACGGGAGGCAGCAGUGAGGAAUAUUGGUCAAUGGACGAGAGUCUGAACCAGCCAAGUAGCGUGAAGGAUGAAUGUCCUAUGGGUUGUAAACUUCUUUUAUAUGGGAAUAAAAUGUUCCACGUGUGGGAUUUUGUAUGUACCAUAUGAAUAAGGAUCGGCUAACUCCGUGCCAGCAGCCGCGGUAAUACGGAGGAUCCGAGCGUUAUCCGGAUUUAUUGGGUUUAAAGGGAGCGUAGGUGGAUUGUUAAGUCAGUUGUGAAAGUUUGCGGCUCAACCGUAAAAUUGCAGUUGAAACUGGCAGUCUUGAGUGCAGGAGAGGUGGGCGGAAUUCGUGGUGUAGCGGUGGAAUGCUUAGAUAUCACGAAGAACUCCGGUUGCGAAGGCAGCUCGCUGGACUGCAACUGACACUGAGGCUCGAAAGUGUGGGUAUCAAACAGGAUUAGAUACCCCGGUAGUC
rnacentral:rRNA from 1 species